GAUGGGAUUAGCUAGUAGGUGGGGUAACGGCUCACCUAGGCGACGAUCCCUAGCUGGUCUGAGAGGAUGACCAGCCACACUGGAACUGAGACACGGCCCAGACUCCUACGGGAGGCAGCAGUGGGGAAUAUUGCACAAUGGGGGAAACCCUGAUGCAGCCAUGCCGCGUGUGUGAAGAAGGCCUUCGGGUUGUAAAGCACUUUCAGCGGGGAGGAAGGCGGCAAGGUUAAUAACCUUGUCGAUUGACGUUACCCGCAGAAGAAGCACCGGCUAACUCCGUGCCAGCAGCCGCGGUAAUACGGAGGGUGCAAGCGUUAAUCGGAAUGACUGGGCGUAAAGCGCACGCAGGCGGUCUGUUAAGUUGGAUGUGAAAUCCCCGGGCUUAACCUGGGAACUGCAUUCAAAACUGACAGGCUAGAGUCUCGUAGAGGGGGGUAGAAUUCCAGGUGUAGCGGUGAGAUGCGUAGAGAUCUGGAGGAAUACCGGUGGCGAAGGCGGCCCCCUGGACGAAGACUGACGCUCAGGUGCGAAAGCGUGGGGAGCAAACAGGAUUAGAUACCCUGGUAGUCCACGCUGUAAACGAUGUCGAUUUGGAGGUUGUGCCCUUGAGGCGUGGCUUCCGGAGCUAACGCGUUAAAUCGACCGCCUGGGGAGUACGGCCGCAAGGUUAAAACUCAAAUGAAUUGACGGGGGCCCGCACAAGCGGUGGAGCAUGUGGUUUAAUUCGAUGCAACGCGAAGAACCUUACCUACUCUUGACAUCCAGCGAAGACUGCAGAGAUGCGGUCGUGCCCUCGGGAACGCUGAGACAGGUGCUGCAUGGCUGUCGUCAGCUCGUGUUGUGAAAUGUUGGGUUAAGUCCCGCAACGAGCGCAACCCUUAUCCUCUGUUGCCAGCACUACGGGUGGGAACUCAGGGGAGACUGCCGGUGAUAAACCGGAGGAAGGUGGGGAUGACGUCAAGCCAUCAUGGCCCUUACGAGUAGGGCUACACACGUGCUACAAUGGCGUAUACAAAGA
rnacentral:rRNA from 1 species